UACGUAGGGUGCAAGCGUUGUCCGGAAUUAUUGGGCGUAAAGAGCUCGUAGGCGGCUUGUCGCGUCGAAUGUGAAAUCUCAGGGCUCAACUCUGACAUUGCAUUCGAUACGGGCAGGCUAGAGUUCGGUAGGGGAGACUGGAAUUCCUGGUGUAGCGGUGAAAUGCGCAGAUAUCAGGAGGAACACCGGUGGCGAAGGCGGGUCUCUGGGCCGAUACUGACGCUGAUGAGCGAAAGCGUGGGGAGCGAACAGG
rnacentral:rRNA from 1 species